GGAGCUCAGAGGGGACUGUAAUUCAUAUGCUAAAGCAACACAGGGAUGGCUGGGCUUUGUAAUUCCUGUGCUAUAAAGCGAAAGAAGCAAAAGUUGCAUCUGAAGAGCCCACAGAAAAUCAAGAGGGUGAGGAUAUUCCACUCCUGCUGUGCUCCUCAUGGAAGGAAGCACCACUGUACCAGGGGAUGGCACUGAGGAUUCUGUUGGCACACACAGCACACCUAGCAGGUGCUGUGGAAUUACUUGCACUCCUUCCCUUGCUCCAUCACACUAGCAGCUGCUGCUUUUUCAUGUUGUCACACCAUGUCACUAAAAGCAGCCCUGGCCCCACUCAUGCUGCUUUACUCCAUCCUCUUUUCAGCCUGGUUACUGUGGUGGGGAUCCAAGCUGAGCUCUGCCUCCUGGAGAGAUCUCGCUUGUGUCCUGCUGCUGGGUUUUGCCAUUGAAGGAGGGAAAAGGUCACACACCUGGAUUUGGGUGCUCUAUUUGGAUUUGCUGUUGGUGUCUCCCUUCAUCUGCCUUCCCUGGGUGCAGCCACCGGAGCCCCGCAGUGAUAAUGCGAGCCAUGGGCACGGGCUGGGAGUGCAGCAUGACCCCGUGGGAACUUCCUGAGGGAAAGCAAGUUUGAGGCAGGGCAGUGCACCUCCCUGCACUCACAGUGCCCUCACAGCAGCAGCUGCACAGAAGCACUCUGCAUUUCCCAAGGAGAGGCCCUCAAGGCAGCACCCUGUGCUUAGCCCGCGAUGCUGGCAGCUGUUUCCCUGUGCGUGAGCUCCUCCCUGCCGGCCCCAUCCCAGCACCUCCAUCUGUUGGGCCGCAGCCUUUGCCUGGUCUCCUCUUGCUCUGAAUUGCAGCCUCUGAUUGCACAGCUUUAUGCUCUUGCAGCACUUUGCUGUUGGAACAAUUUCUUGCCAGAAGCACAGCACCGUGUGCCUUCCUGCUCCCUCUGGCUGCCAUCUGCUGCCCAGCACAAAGCAAACGAGGGGCCACUGCCGCCCAUCUGCUCAGCAAAGAGCCAACUGAGCAACCUUCCUGACUGCAGCCACUGCACCGGGGGCUGCAAUUGCUGGAAGUACCAAGGAGGCAGAGGGAAGACAGCAAUGCCUUUCGUUGUGCUUCAGCUGGAUGCUGCAGCACUGAGCCCAAGUGGAUCCUGCUCUCAUCCAUCCUGGCAAGAGAAAGCAUGGAAAGAAGAGACAAGCACUGAACCCCUGCUCGCUGCCUUCGAGCUCACUGUGUAAGCAAUCUGCAGCAGAUGGUGCCCAGAUGUUCCCCAUCACCAGCUGUUCCAGCUUUACACAGAAGACAACUCCUGCUCUUCAGCUCUGGAGCGAGGGCACUGGGAGCACAGAAGGGCAAUCAGUGCUUACACACAAACACCAACACAGAGGCUGAUUCUUCCUAAAGUUUCACCACAAGACACAAACUUCUGACACCCAGGGGAGCCUGAGCUAACUGUGCUGCCUGGAAGCCAGGCUGUUAUGGCUGCCCAGGGCUCCAUACUCGUAUCUAUGGAAAAGUUACCUUCAUUGCCAUAGUAACAUAACACUGCUGCUUUCAGAAAGUUACUGCAAAUACAUAUACCUGUGUUUUAAAGAGGUAACCAAGAAAUAAAGGAACGCGUUUAUCUGUCCAAAGUUGGAACAAAGAUUUCAUCGCUUUCUGAAUUUCUAGCAGAUAGAUGCAGCUGGGGUGCAGGCAGCUGCCUGCUGCAGGAACAGCAGCUCCAAAGAAGCCUUUGCUGUCACCUUCCCCCUCAUCUCUUCUGAGCUCUGCAGAAUUCCUGGCCAUACCACGACCUGCUCCUGGAAGCACCCAGGUGCUCUGUCAGCUCCCAUGGCCUCAGGCUUCGUCCACCUGCACACUGCAGCCAUGUGAAGCACACUGCAGACCUUCAACCGGGAGCAGCAUUGCAGCACAUGCAGUUGUGUUCACAAAGAUGGGAUGCAGGGAGAGGGAGAAAGUCACAAACCUAUGGGCACUUCUGGCACAUUUGCUGCAGCUGUUUACAAGCAUUGUAACUCCGAUCCUUCUGCACAUACACAACUCCUCCCUUCCCUGCAACCACCCAGCCACCAGUACUGAAAACAGGGAAGAAAACCCUGAACAGCCUCUUGCCCUGCUUUGUUCUGCCAGCUCCACCAAGCAGAGGAAGCAGGAGCAGCAGACAGCAAGUCAAGCUCCUGGCUGCAACAGCUGAGGGAGGUACAGGACACGGCCCAGCGGGGCAGGAUGCUGGCACUCAACAUUCUGUGAAAUGCAGCCCCUUUCCUUCUCAGCCUUUCUGCCUGCUCCCACCCGCUGCUCCUGUCCCUGAGCUUUGCUCCUGUGCUCCAACUGCUGUCCAUCCUCCUUACGACCCCGCUAAGCAGCCCACAAACUUCUGAGGUGUUCCAGGGUUCCCUUUAAGCUACUCCCAGCCCUUUGACCACAGCAGAAGCAUGCCCAAAUGCCCAGCAUCCCAUUCCCAUCCAACCUUCAAAGCACCACAUUAAAGAAAAUCCUUUUAGCUUCACUAUUUGACAUCCAAUAGGCAGUAGAAAAAGCCUUAGAUUUUAUUUCUUGUAAAAAUCUUUUAACACAUGCAGACUAAAACCAGUGUAAGAAAGUAUCCACCAUCGUUUAAACAAAUAACUAUACUUAAAUAUAAGUGUCUGCAAUUGACUUGUAUAAAAAUAAGGUACAUUUCGCUUUUGUACAGAAAUCCAUUCUCCAGUUCUCGUAUCAAUAAACAAUACACAACUCUAAUACAUACAGUUCAACCUGA